UACGAAGGGGGCUAGCGUUGCUCGGAAUCACUGGGCGCAAAGGGUGCGUAGGCGGGUCUUUAAGUCAGGGGGGAAAUCCUGGGGCUCAACUCCAGAACUGCCUUUGAUACUGAGGAUCUUGAGUUCGGGAGAGGUGAGUGGAACUGCGAGUGUAGAGGUGAAAUUCGUAGAUAUUGGGAAGAACACCGGUGGCGAAGGCGGCUCACUGGCCCGUAACUGACGCUCAUGCACGACAGCGUGGGGAUCAAACAGG
rnacentral:rRNA from 1 species